rnacentral:tRNA from 1 species
GGGGCAAUGGUGGAACGGCAUACACGGAAGUCUUAAAAACUUCUGUCCUGACGGACUUGUGGGUUCGAAUCCCACUUGCCCCA